CACCCCCAACUUCUUAUGUGUCCUGAUGCAGAGCUUGGGAGGCUCUGUCUAGAAGCCCAAUGUUCUGCAGUCCUCAGAAUGAACAGUCACAGUGGCACACUAAUUCAGCAAUUCAUUUAUCACAGUGUUUGAGAAGUGUUCUGGGGUGGAAGGCGAAGGAUGAUAGAUAGCUGAAGCAAAUGAAAAUUCCCUUUGUCUUAGUAUGAAGGCUUGUUCGGGUGGGGUAAACAGCCACAGGAUGGGGAACUGAAGGCUACUUAUCCACCUGCCUGGUCAAAAUGAGUAGCUGCAGUGUGACCUUUCUCCACCUUGAACCUUAACCAGAAGCCACAAUUCAGUUCAGUUCUCUCCAGGGUGCUCUGAGCAGAAACCCAGUUGUUACCGUAAAUGAAGUAACUGGAUUGCUGUCCUCUAGGGACAGCUGAGAACUAAACUCUUCUUUCUUAGGCUCUCAAGCUGAAGUUGACCUUGUGGCUCAGAGAUGAUGUGCUCAGCCACCCCAACUCCUUUGUUGUCCUGGUUUGAAUUGAAAAAUCUCUGUUUAAUUGUGUUUUGGAAGUAGAAUAUCAAGUGCUGAACUAACUGUGUGUAUUAUC